CUACGGGAGGCAGCAGUGAGGAAUAUUGCGCAAUGGGAGAAAGCCUGACGCAGCCACGCCGCGUGAGUGAGGAAGGCCUUCGGGUUGUAAAGCUCUGUCACCCGGGAAAAACAAGCAGUGGGGGAAAGUUCCAUUGCCCUGAUUGUACCGGGGGAGGAAGUAGCGGCUAACUCUGUGCCAGCAGCCGCGGUAAUACAGAGGCUACAAACGUUGUUCGGAUUUACUGGGCGUAAAGCGUGCGUAGGCGGUAUUGAGAGUCGCGGGUGAAAUCCCAGAGCUUAACUCUGGAACUGCCUGCGAGACCUCAAUACUAGAGUGUGAGAGGGGAUGCUGGAAUUCCUGGUGUAGCGGUGAAAUGCGUAGAGAUCAGGAGGAACACCGGUGGCGAAGGCGGGCAUCUGGCUCACAGCUGACGCUGAGGCACGAAAGCGUGGGGAGCAAACAGGAUUAGAUACCCUAGUAGUCCC
rnacentral:rRNA from 1 species